rnacentral:rRNA from 1 species
UACGUAGGGGCUAGCGUUAUCCGGAAUUACUGGGCGUAAAGGGUGCGUAGGCGGCUUUUUUAAGUCAGCGGUGAAAUUUUGCAGCUUAACUGUAACAGUGCCGUUGAUACUGGGGAGCUAGGAUUUGGUUGCUGUGGGUGGAAUGUGUGGUGUAGCGGUGAAAUGCUUAGAGAUCACACAGAAUAUCGAUUGCGAAGGCAGCUCACAAAGCCAAGAUUGACGCUGAGGCACGAAAGUGUGGGGAUCAAACAGGAUUAGAUA